CUCGACCAAUCGGCUGCUCGGAGAAGAUCUUCCAAUUUGCAGCCUAAUGAAAACGCUUUUGAUGCCAUCGCACCCCUCACUGAAUGUGCUCCGUAUGUGGAAGUAUCAAUGCCUGCUGACGUCAUGAUACAUUUGACCCAGCGAGAUAGGGUGACUGUAGAAACCGGACGAUGCGGUUGUCGAACGGCCAGGAAUAGGUCCGCACGUUGAGG